UUGCUUCUCUUGAGAGCGGCGGACGGGUGAGUAAUGCCUAGGAAUCUGCCUGGUAGUGGGGGAUAACGUUCGGAAACGGACGCUAAUACCGCAUACGUCCUACGGGAGAAAGCAGGGGACCUUCGGGCCUUGCGCUAUCAGAUGAGCCUAGGUCGGAUUAGCUAGUUGGUGGGGUAAUGGCUCACCAAGGCGACGAUCCGUAACUGGUCUGAGAGGAUGAUCAGUCACACUGGAACUGAGACACGGUCCAGACUCCUACGGGAGGCAGCAGUGGGGAAUAUUGGACAAUGGGCGAAAGCCUGAUCCAGCCAUGCCGCGUGUGUGAAGAAGGUCUUCGGAUUGUAAAGCACUUUAAGUUGGGAGGAAGGGCCAUUACCUAAUACGUGAUGGUUUUGACGUUACCGACAGAAUAAGCACCGGCUAACUCUGUGCCAGCAGCCGCGGUAAUACGGAG
rnacentral:rRNA from 1 species